AGAUAGUCAUAUCUCACCGGUGGGCGCCCCUUUUGGAUAAAAAUCAAAUCUUUCCUCGAUUUUUUUCACUCUCUCUUUCUCUUCUUUCUUUCUCUUGCUCUCUCUCUGGUUGAUUUUCUCUUAUCGUCUUCUUCGUCCAUAACGAGGACGUGGUAGAAGUAUUGGACAAGUCACAGGUGAGAGAGUUGAAAAUCAUGAAGAGGAGUGGAAGAUCUAAGAGAAGAGGAGACGGAGGAGGAGAAGCAAGCUUCAGGAGCAGAGGCGAACAGAGCUUUCACGGUGAUUUCAGAGGCGGCAGAGUGGGGAAGAAGCAGCACAGCAAGGAUAGGAUGUUCAUCAUAACCCCGUAUAAUAAAUAUGGGUAACACCCCAUCACUGGAGCUCCCCUCAACUUUCAACAAGAAUUCUGAAGGUUUUUGUCUUCAGAAGCUUACAGGGCAGCCAGAAGCACCAGACAGGGCAACGUCUCAAUGGCAUCUCUGGAAGGGCGUAGUGGCAGAAUGGUCUGCCGCACUUGAAGAAGAGAGAUUAGGAGAUGUCGAUGUUGGCAAUGGUGGAGCUGGCAGCAUUUUCCUAUCCUUGCCAAUGACACCUAUGGAAUGAUGCGACAAAAGAGGGGAGCACACAGACAAGCUUUUGGUGGUUUGAAGUCACUCUCUCAAAGCAUCAGAAUGAGUUUCCACCAGCUUACUCUAUCCAGUCAGAUGCAGUUGAAAAUGAAUCAUAUCAAAGCUCCCCAAAGGAAUCUUCAUCUCUUAGGAACAUAUCUGUAGUGAUUUGUUACAAAUGAAAGUGCAUUCAAGAAUUAGCAGGUAACAUGAGGAAAGAAUUUUUCAAACAUUUCAAUUAAUGAAUCUGUGAAUUAUGAAGUACUUCAUUGGUUAGCAUCCAAAUUUCUACUAAAUGAUCACUGAAAAACAAAUAGUUGGCAACUAUAGUUUAAAAAGUUCAUAACUUUUGAAAGAAGUUUGUAUUUUUUUUAUAAUGGGAAAGAAAAUGAAGUUGAGAAAUAGAAUAAUCUUGAUUUAAUCAAAUAGCAAAGGCAUCAUAGCCAGACACAGUUUCCAGAA